rnacentral:lncRNA from 1 species
UUCCCAAGUAACUUUGAGCAGAGAAUACGCCAAAUCUUUAUUUAGUCUGGGCAGACAAACGCAUAUUUCAGUUUUGAUUGUGGAGCUAACAUGCAACAGAUACAACAUUCAGUCUGAGCUGCUGUUGAGAAGUUGUUCUGUUUUUUCCUGCAAAGAUCUUUCUGCCGAAGCUGGGUCCUUCUGUCCCUUCUUGUCUUUGUUCUGCUGUUCCUGCAGCUUCAGGAUGAUUUUUCGUAUUUCUUCUCUUUUGGUUUUCAUUCGUGGGCGUGGAAACCAGUCUGUUAAGUUCAUUGGUAGCUCAAAACUCAGAAUAGGAUUCUCAAAAAAGCUCUCUACAUACUGCAGUACGUACACUCCACAAUCACUGAAGUUGUUUUGUUGCGGCACUUUGGGGUUGGAACCUUUCACGA